ACGCUCGGGUAAUGGUUUAAGAGGCAUUGGGGCUAUCAGUACAGGUGUUUCUCGCCUUAAACUGAUAGUUAAAACCACUUGUUAAGCGAGUUUGAAAUUCCUCGCAUAAUUUGUUUUGUACCGUUGUGAGAUGCAAGCGGUGUUCUCGCCAUAAAGCAUGUCGAUUGCGGUUAACACUGAUUGGUGACUGGUGAGCUUCAGUACAGGUGUUUCUCGCCUUACAACCGAUAGUUAAAACCAUGAUGAGUUUUCCUCUACUAUUUUGUGCCGUUUGUAGUGUUCACGCUCGGAUGCGGCUGUAAUGGUUU